rfam:Desulfotomaculum gibsoniae DSM 7213, complete genome.
GGUCAAGCUAACAAGAGCGUACGGUGGAUGCCUGGGCGCUAAGGGCCGAUGAAGGACGUGGUAAGCUGCGAAAAGCUACGGUGAGCCGCAAGCAGGCAUUGAUCCGUAGAUCUCCGAAUGGGGCAACCCGUUACCAGUAACGAGGUAACAUCUUAUGCUGAAUCCAUAGGCAUAAGAAGGGCACCCGGUGAACUGAAACAUCUAAGUAGCCGGAGGAACAGAAAUCAACCGAGAACCCCCAAGUAGCGGCGAGCGAACCGGGGCCAGCCUAAACCUAUUUUGCGUGCAAAAUAGGGGUUGCGGGACUCUCAUAACGGACUAAUAGCCUUAGCCGAACCCGCCAGGAACGGCGGGCCACAGAAGGUAACAGCCCUGUAGGCGAAAAGGCAACGAGUUUAGAGAGCAUCCCAAGUACCGCGGGACACGUGAAACCCCGUGGGAAUCAGGGAGGACCACCUUCCAAGGCUAAAUACCCUUAGCGACCGAUAGCGCACAAGUACCGUGAGGGAAAGGUGAAAAGCACCCCGGGAGGGGAGUGAAACAGAACCUGAAACCGUACGCUUACAAUCAGUCAGAGCACUAUACUCGAGGUUCGAGAUUCGAGUUUCGAAGUUCGAACCGGGGUCAGGCCUAAAGGGUCAUUAAGGAAAAAGACCCCAAAGGAAUACCUAGAAUCGAAUAUCGAAUUUCGAACCUCGAACUUCGAGCAGUGUGAUGGCGUACUUUUUGUAGAACGGACCGGCGAGUUACAUUUAGCGUGCCAGGUUAAGGCUGACAAAGGCCGUCAACCGCAGCGAAAGCAAGUCUUAAAAGGGCGCACGUAGUACGCUGAAGUAGACCCGAAACCGGGUGAUCUACCCAUGUCCAGAGUGAAGCGGAAGUAACAUUUCGUGGAGGCUCGAACCAACCGUCGUUGAAAAGGCGGUGGAUGAGGUGUGGGUAGGGGUGAAAUGCCAAUCGAACCCGGAGAUAGCUGGUUCUCCCCGAAAUAGCUUUAGGGCUAGCCUUGUACAAAAUACCCGGAGGUAGAGCACUGAAUGGGCUAGGGGCCUUCACCGGUUACUGAACUCAAUCAAACUGCGAAUGCCGGGCUAUUAAAGUACAGGAGUCAGACUGCGGGUGCUAAGAUUCGUAGUCGAGAGGGAAACAGCCCAGACCGCCAGUUAAGGUCCCUAAAUCGUGCUAAGUGGCAAAGGAUGUGAGGUUGCCCGGACAACCAGGAUGUUGGCUUAGAAGCAGCCACCAUUUAAAGAGUGCGUAAUAGCUCACUGGUCAAGUGACCUUGCGCCGAAAAUGUAACGGGGCUCAAGCACGAUACCGAAACUGCGGAAUUCAAAUGAAUUGGUAGGGGAGCGUUCUGUAAGCGUUGAAGCUAUACCGCAAGGAGUAGUGGAGUUUACAGAAGUGAGAAUGCCGGUAUAAGUAAGCGCAAAGGCAGGUGAGAAUCCUGCCCGCCGAAAACCUAAGGAUUCCUGGGGAAGGCUCGUCCGCCCAGGGUAAGUCGGGCCCUAAGCCGAGGCUGAAAAGCGUAGGCGAUGGACAAUCGGUGGAAAAUCCGAUACCACCUUAAAGCCGCUAUUAGGAUGAGGUGACACAGUAGGGCAAGCCAAGCGCGCGGUUGGAAAAGCGCGUCCAAGCCCGUAGGGCGAACUGCAGGCAAAACCGCAGUUCACAUAAGCCUGAGAGGUUAUGGGGAGCGAAAACAAGUAGCGAAGUGGCUGCACCCAAACUGUCAAGAAAAACCUCUAACGAGGCUAUAAGGUGCCCGUACCGCAAACCGACACAGGUAGGUGGGGUGAGAAUCCUAAGGCGCGCGAGAAAACCCUCGUUAAGGAACUCGGCAAAAUGACCCCGUAACUUCGGGAGAAGGGGUACCCCAUUAAUGUGAAAGUUAUCCAACUGGAGCAUGAAGGGGUCGCAGAGAAAAGGCCCAAGCGACUGUUUACCAAAAACACAGGUUCCUGCUAAAUCGCAAGAUGACGUAUAGGAGCUGACGCCUGCCCGGUGCUGGAAGGUUAAGGGGAGAGGUUAGCGCAAGCGAAGCUUUAAACCGAAGCCCCAGUAAACGGCGGCCGUAACUAUAACGGUCCUAAGGUAGCGAAAUUCCUUGUCGGGUAAGUUCCGACCCGCACGAAAGGCGUAACGAUUUGGGCGCUGUCUCAACGAGGGACUCGGCGAACUUGUAAUGCCGGUAAAGAUGCCGGCUACCUGCGACAGGACAGAAAGACCCCGUGGAGCUUUACUGCAGCUUGACAUUGGAUUUUGGUAUUGCAUGUACAGGAUAGGUGGGAGGCUAAGAAGCCAGGGCGCCAGUUUUGGCAGAGCCACCGUUGGGAUACCACCCUUGUGAUAUUGAAAUUCUAACACGAGCCUUUGAAUCAAGGUUAUGGACAGUGUCAGGUGGGCAGUUUGACUGGGGCGGUCGCCUCCCAAAAGGUAACGGAGGCGCCCAAAGGUUCCCUCAGCGCGGUUGGAAAUCGCGCGCACAGAGUGUAAAGGCAGAAGGGAGCUUGACAGCGAGACACACAAGUCGAGCUGGGACGAAAGUCGGGCUUAGUGAUCCGGCGGCAUUCGCGUGGAAGAGCCGUCGCUCAACGGAUAAAAGCUACCCCGGGGAUAACAGGCUUAUCUCCCCCAAGAGUCCACAUCGACGGGGAGGUUUGGCACCUCGAUGUCGGCUCAUCGCAUCCUGGGGCUGUAGUAGGUCCCAAGGGUUGGGCUGUUCGCCCAUUAAAGCGGUACGUGAGCUGGGUUCAGAACGUCGUGAGACAGUUCGGUCCCUAUCCGUCGCAGGCGCAGGAAACUUGCGAGGAGCUGUCCCUAGUACGAGAGGACCGGGAUGGACGGAUCACUGGCGUACCAGUUAUCGCGCCAGCGGUAGCGCUGGGUACCCAAAUCCGGACGGGAUAAGCGCUGAAGGCAUCUAAGCGCGAAGCCCCCCUCUAGAUAAGGUUUCCCAUCCAGUUAAUGGAGUAAGACCCCUGGUAGACUACCAGGUAGAUAGGCCGGGCGUGCAAGCACAGCAAUGUGUGCAGCGGACCGGUACUAAUAGGUCGAGGGCUUGACCUG